rnacentral:sRNA from 1 species
GAGUCCCCCUGUGCAGCCAAGAACAUUCCCAGGCAGAACUCCGCUCCCCUGCUCCAAACUGCACUCCUAGGGAAUGGGGAAAGGCCCCCUGGGGCGAAGGAAGCGCCCCCCUUGACACUCUCGCUGGUAAGUCAUGGUGGGGCGGGCACGGGAGGGACCCUUCCUCUGCACCUUUCAGUGACCCUGUGACAUGGCCCUUCCCAGGCGAAGCCAAGCGGCAGGGGAGCUGCGCCCUCCCUAACCUCCCAGGCUGCGGCUCAGGUGGCCAACCAGGUCCUGAUCCGGGGUGACUGGAACCGGGGCGGUGGGGUGAGGGUGGCCAGCGCACAACAGGUGAGCCCAGCCCAGUCUGCCCCUGUCCCCUCAUCCUCCUUUCCCCUUUCCCCCUCCUUUUCCCUCCCUUCCCCAUCCUUCCCAUUGCCCCUCCAAUGUCCAAAUCUCUCAAGGACCUCAAGGCCUCCCCUCCACUGCACCCCCUCUGAUGCCCCCUUUAUGUGACCCUCAACUGUACACAGGUCCCUCCCCGGCUUCCUCCGGAGGCCCGGCCCGGCCGGAGGAUGUUCAGCACCUCUG